CAUGCUAGGGGUGGCAAUCCAGCUCGCUGUUCGCAAACCAGCUCGUGUUCGGCUCGAAAUGAGCUCGAGAUCAAAUCGCUCGUUUAGUAAACGAGCCGAACACGAGNUUUAUAUUUUUAUAUAUAAAUAUAUAAUUAUAUAUAAUAUAUAUUUUUAUUAUUUAAUUUUUAGCAAAAGAAAAUUAUAAAUGCGAGCUUAAUUAUAAAAAGACUCAUUUGUAUGUAAAGUUUCAACUAUUAGAUUAAAGUCUAAUGAAUAAAAUUUUAUAAAUUUAAUUUUUUUAUAUAUAUUCAAUCUAAUUCUUUUUAACUUAUUGUUUGUUGGUCAGCUCGUGAGCCAGUUCGUAUUCGGCUCGUUUAUUAACGAGUGGAACACGAGCUGAAUUUUUGGCUCGAUCCUUUAACGAGCCAACUCGUGUUCGGCUCGUUUAUUAAACGAGCUGAAUAUGA
rnacentral:lncRNA from 1 species